rnacentral:lncRNA from 1 species
AUAUUCUUACCUCACCCUCACUCCCUACCCACCCACCCAACUUUUUAAACCCAUUCAAAUUUUUUUUUUUUUACAAGAGGUAAAUAUUUAUAAGCUAAUAUUUUUUAGACUAAGCGGUUAAAUUGAGCGGGUCAAGACCCAACUUGAUUCUUACCCAUUUCUACACAACCCAUUUCAAACCAAAGUGAAUUUAGGUGGGUCACGACCCAACCUGAUAUCUAAUUCAACCUAUUUAAUAUCUUUAUUCUUAACCUAACCCGCCCAUUUGACAUCCUUAAUAAUGACCAAUAACGCCACAAGAAAUCCAUGUAAGUAAGUAAAAUAUCAGCUAUAUCAUUAUCAAUCACAAAAUCAACAACUAUAGCAUAAGUAGAAACUACAUCCAUCUCAAUCUCACAAUUAGGAUACCAUUUGUUCAUUAUUCAUUUUAACCAUAUAACCUCUCUCAAUUCAUACUAAUAUAUACACAAUAGACUUAUUUUUUCCAACUAUUCAUAACCUAUAGGGGACAUUUUUAGUCCAUGUACCAUACCGGUAUGGCAUCUGAUCCUUCAUAAUAAAUGACACAAUAUCCAUAUCCAAACCAAUAUUGCCCAAUAUUCCAUACUCAUAAUAUACAUAUCUUAUGAGAUAUCCUAUCUCUCAGGAUUCAUAAUAAUGUACUAUAUUUACUAACACACAUUAAUCAUGAAUUAAUUCAUUCAAGUAUAAACAACUCAACAAUCAUUAAUUACAAUCAUGCUUGAAGAUCUGUCAAUAAACAUCUGAUUUAGGAACAUACAAUAAAAGUUAGUCUACAAUCUAAUUAAACUGUAACCUACCUUAACCAUCGAUCCCAUAAGCAAGUUAGUUAGCAAGAGCCUUGUCUUUCCUCAUCACCAUAGAAUGUUCAAAGUAUAAAAAAACAAUAGAGAGUAUACAUAUUUGUUCUUUAAUUCUAAUCCUUAGGUAUCAAACCCCUCUGACUUUUACCUUUGAUCAUAGCCUAAAUUAUAGUAUAAAGUUUUUUCAAUCAUUAAUUUACCCUAGAUCCCCAUAAUUCACAUUCAUAAGAUGUCAUAACCAAAAUGGUUAUGAUUAGUUCCCAUUCUUACUUAUGCUAGGAGAAUCAUGUGUAACCCAAAACCUCAAAUAACCUAAUUUUAUAACCCAAGACUACCCCCUAGUUUUAACAUGAUGCUUAAGGCCACAAGUGACAUUAAGCUAACCCAUAAUCUGGUAUCUGUGGUGAGAACUAAGUAAAAUAAUAAUAAAGCAUUAUAAGUGAAAGCUAAGCAAAUAAAAUUUUUCUUAAUAUGUAAUACUAUAAUGAUACCCAACUUGUCUGAACUACUGAUAAAAACUAAAAACAAGUCUAACCAUAUGAAAGCCUAAAAAACAUAAGAAGUUGAUGGGACAAACCCCUAACUAACUCUGACAAAGAAGUACUGAAAAUAACUGCAAGUAACUUGUCCUCAAAGGAUGAGGACUCACCAUAACUACUACUGAGCGGUACUAAGAUGACUUAUAGCGAUUAAUGAAUGGAGAUGACUUAGGGCGAUUAAUGAACUAAGUGUCCGAACCUAUGUUAUAAGACAACAUAGUGCAAGAGAGAGUAUGCGAUCAGUACUUUGAAUGCAAUGGUAAGGGAGAUAUGGACAACUAAGAUACAUAUAAAUAUUGAUCUUAAAUGUAUGAACAUGUAAAUAAAUACAAGAACAAGUAAAAUAUGUGCUGCAAUAGCCUUUAAAAUUGAAUAGCUGAAUGACCAAUAAACUGAACACUUGGUUAUGCAAACCUAAUCUGAUAUAGUGUAAAUACUAAACUGAGUCUGUGGGAGCUAACUACAAAUGACAUGCCCCUAUCUGAGCUAAAUGGGGUCCAACCUGUAACCCCAGUUGGAAGGGUAUUAGUACCUUUUCACGGGGACUAAUACAUAGUUGACAAUAUGUAUUCCAAAAGACUGAUAUCCUAAAGGACGAGGGUGUCAUGCCUCUACUGAUGGGGGACCCUUAAUAAUAUAUGAUGGUGCCAUAGGUCUAUAACUUAGGGACUACUACUAACAACUAGUGCCUAACUGACGAGGGAGCGGCCAUCCCUGUAUUCAAUCGGUGCUAAGUGGUACUCUAACUAAAUGGCACUGCUAUUAUUAUUAUUUGUUCAAUAUAAUUUGGUACUGAUAAGUGCUCAAUAUGAAUAUGAUAGUUCUAAUAUAAUGAUACAAACAUGGUCUGAAUGACUGAUAAGUUUAAAAUCUAAAAUAUGCAUGGCUAUCAAGGUAUCAGGUGUUCAUAAUCCUCCAACACUGAAUAAUACUUUAAAUAUAAUAACAAAAUUUUAAAAACUAUUGGGAAACUCAUCAUUCAGAGACCCAAAACAUAGAUGAUAUCAAUAACUGAUAAAAACCAUGAUUAUAGGUAUGGAAAGAUGCUUAACUUAUAAGGACAACAUGCUAACAUGGUUAAAUUCAUAAAUUGGCAAACCAACAUAGUGUCAACUAAACAUGAUAUGAAUGACUAGGGUUAUAAAGCAUGCAAGAGUAUAAUUCUCAUGGGAAAACACAAUUUCAUUGUUUGUAUUCAGAACUAUUAUGAAAAAAACAAUUAAAUUUAUAUUAAAUAUUAAAAUUUUGUUAAAAGAGGGAAAAAAGUUUAUACUUGAAAAAUAAAGGAUUCUUGGGACUUAAUGGGUGAAAUGGAUCCGUUGAUGAAUAUCCCACAUACCUGAGUUGCCUGUAUUCAUGAAGAAAAGUUGGAAUUGAGACCUUGGAUGGUUGAAUUCUUGGAAAAAACUUUGAUUUUUGUGUUCUUAAGGAUGAGAGGGAAUUAUCAUUGACUGAUGAAGAAUGGGGUAAAUAAUGCCCCUCUUGAGUUUUAAAUCGUCAAUGGGGUGUUUAGGUAGAGGGGAAAAUACCAAAACACCCUCACCCAUUUAAUGAAAAUUACAGGAUAACACGACCUACAUGGCACGAAGGCAAUCAUGGAGGCUAGUAUCUGUGACACACUAUGUAUCGUGGAAGGCCAGUCUCUCUAGCACAUUGAAAUCGUAGUGGAAUGCUGAAUCCGUGGUCCAAAAACACCCCAAACCUCUUUUAAAAAUUCUAAAACUAGCUUUUUUCCAACAAUCCUUGCUGAUUUUGAUGCCAAAAUAACCUUGCUAGCACUGGCUAGCCACAUACAAAGCCUGACUAGCUGCCUAGUGCUCUCAUGAUAGAAGAUUUUUCAUCAUUAAUCCAAAAAACUAAUAAAUCAUUAUUUUAUAAUGAUAUAUCUAUAACCCAGUUGUAAAAUUUUUUUGCUGAGCUUCUCAAACCAGUGUACUAAAGGGGUGAAAGGAUGCUAAUUUUCAAAAGAAUUAAUCUAUCCCCUUCAAAUAAUAUGAUUUAGUAAUGGGGUUCCAAGGGUAGUAUGGACUGACGAUGAGGUUAAUAUAAUGUAUGUUUCGGAGGAUUUGCAGUAUGAUAUCAUAGGUAUGUUUUCAUAUGUAUGGCCUGAGCUUGUUGAUCUAAGGGCUUAUUUACUAGACAACUAAAGCUACAAAGUGAUUGCAAGAUAGGCUAUUUAAGAAUCCAUCAUAUUUUGUUAAGAUUCGAUCUAGCUGAGGAUUUUGUUAAUGUGAUGGCAAAGACCAUAUAUUACAUUAAUGAUAGGGAUGGAUAUUCAUAACAAAUGAGGCCACUGAUUUAUGACGCUAAGUUCACAGCAGAGGAAGAAAUUAUGCAGCCAAUGGCAUGGAUUUAUUUCCUAAAUUUAAAACCAACUUUCUUUGAAAAUGAGUCUUAUUUUUCAUUGGCAUCAAUUGUAGGGNNNNNNNNNNNNNNNNNNNNNNNNNNNNNNNNNNNNNNNNNNNNNNNNNNNNNNNNNNNNNNNNNUCAUCCACUAUAAACAAGACUAAACGUAGUUGUGCUAGGGUAAAAGUUCAAAUUGAUCUACUAUCAAAAAUUCCUGAUUAUUUGGAGCUUAAAAUUGGUAAUGAGAAAACAAAGAAAUCAAGAAUAGAAAAAAUUACUACCAAUUAUCAUUUCUUGUCUAAGUAUUGUAAAGAGUGCAAACUCCAAGGUCAUCGUGAAUCGGAGUGUAGAUUUCCACAUCCAGAUCUGAGACCAUCAUAUGAAGAAGAGAAAGUUAAGAAAGAUCAUAGCCAGAAUAUGGAUACUGGAGGUAGCAAGACAAGGUUUAAGGAUGGAAGAAGAAAUAGAUAAAAUUUACACUGGAAUCCUACCAGGUGCAGGCUUAUUAAUAAUGAUUUCUUAAGUGAAAAAGCAUUGACACAAAAGAAAUGAUUACCUGAUACUAAUCUUUUUAUUGCAUUGGGAGAAAUGGAGGAUGAAACUUUAAAAAAUAAUAAUCAGUCAACACUCUCACUAAUAUCAAAGUGGAAUACAAAGAAGAAAAAUAAUAAAUUAAGGACUGGGUGACCAAGUCUUUCCAUGAUCUGUCAUCUAAGAGAGUAAAAUCACUGAAAGAAUGACCUACCAGAGAAGAACAAGAAACUGAAACUCAAUUAGUAAAGUUAGACAAGGAGCAUAGUGUGGAAGUUACAGAUACAGAGGUGAAUCCUACAGCAAUAAUGAUUUAAAGGGAAGUAAAUUCUCAUACAGUGCAAUAAAAAUCUUUAGAUCAAUGAGCUAAUAUUAAAUCCUAGAGCUCAAUAGCAGUAAAAAAAUCAUUUGAUGUUGUGAAUCAAUUAAAGUAGUUUGAGUAGUCUCAAAGCCAAAGUAAAGGGUGAAGAGUAACUGUGAGAAUGUGAUAUCAACAAUAAUUUCAUCAUCUACAAGAUCAAAGGUGAAAGAAGGUCAACAGGAUAAUGAAAGGCAAAACAUAACCUCUAAUGAGGAGAAUUAGUUAGCUGUAGUGGACAUCCCUUUGGAUAUUCAUGAGUCUUUGGUUUAGGGUGUGACUCAACAUCAUAACUCUCUCCAUGUAUCAUAAUAUAGAAAUUAAUGAUGGAGUUAAGCGAAUUGAGGAUAAAUAAAUUAGUGGAAGUAGUGAGCAUGACAUAAUCAAGCAAGGGGAUUUAUCUCCCAGAGUAAUUAAGGAUAGUAAGGCUGGAAGGAAAUCAAAGAAGCUGAAUAAUGAAGAAGAUUCUAUACCUAUAAGAGUUCAACUGAAGAAGAGUGGCGUCUCAAAAUAAUCAAAGUACAAAUAAAGGCUUUAGUAUGGAAUAUCAGAUCUGUGUAAGUCACAAAAGGAUUUUCAAGGGUUCAAUUACUGCAUAAGUUUCAUAAGUUUGAUUUCAUUGCCUUAAUGUAGCCUUUUCAACAUAUAAGAACUAUCCAAAGGUACAAGAAUAGAAUACAUAUGCCUAUAGCUUAUUACAAUUAUUCAGGAAGGAUAUGAUUCUUUGUUAAUCAUGGUUUAAAUGGUAAUAUUAUCAGUGAUACAAAAUAAUAGAUAACAUGUCAUUUGACUGAUAUAACCACAGGUUUGCGUUUUCUAUUGACAGCUGUGUAUGCUAAAUAUGAUAUGUAUAAAAAAUUAGUGCUUUGGGACGAUCUACUUAUUGUUGCUAAUGCCAAUUCAAAACCUUUGGUAAUUGGGGGAGAUUUUAAUGUUGUUCUUAAUAGUGUUGAAAAAAUUGGAGGUAAUCUUGUGAUAUUUGUUGAUGUAGAAGAUUUUCAUCACUGUAAAGAAGUUUGUGGUAUUGUUCAAGUGAUUUAUAAGGGCAACCCUUUUACUUGAUGAAAUGGGAGAAGAGGAGCUGAUUGUACUUUUUAAUGGUUAGAUAGAGCCUUUGUUAACUCUGAAUUUUAAAAUUUGUUUUCACACUUAGAAAUAGAGCAUUUUCCAAGAGAUGGAUCAGAUCAUGUCCCUCUUUUUCUUAAAUAUGAAAAUAAUAAUACUACAAUUAAUAAACUUUUAGGUUUCUAAAUUCUUGGACCCUACAUAUAGAGUUUAAGGAAGUGGUUAGGAGUAGUUGGGAUACUAAUUAUCAGAAUAAUCCUUUUUCAGAUUUCAAAAAAAGAUCUAGCAAGUGAAAUAUGUUAUCUCUAAGUGGAGUCAACAAUUUUAUGGUGAUAUUAUUCAACAACUACACAUUUGAGAGAAAAUUGCUAGAAUAAAUGAGACGCUAUUUAAAUAUAAUCCUAUCUUGAGAAUCAGAUUGUUAUGUAGAAGGAAAAAGUUAAAUUUAUCAAAUAUCUUCAAAUAGAAGAGUGUUCUUAAAAACAGAAAGUAGGGUAUGACUGUUUGAAAGUGGGGACAUAAAUACCAACUUUUUUUAUAAUAUUAUCAAAGGAGGGAGAAAUAGGUUCAAGAUUUAUAGAAUAUUAAAUGAUCAGGUGAUCAAAUAGAUGAAGAGGCUAUUCAGUUUUUUAAGAAUAAAUUUACUCAAGAAAGAGAUACAACAACCUUCCCACUAAUUGAAUAUGUCCCUAAGUUGGUGAAUAAUGAAGAUAAUGAGAUACUACAAGCUAUUCCAGAAAAGGAAUAAACGAAGAAGGCAAUGUUUAAUUUGAAUGGAGAUAGUGCAAGUAAACCAAAUGGUUUAACUGGGACAUUUUAUUAGACAUUCUGAGAUAUAGUUGGUGAAUAUGUAGUCAGACCGGUAUUGAAAUUUUUUGUAGGAAAUUCACUCCCUAAAUCUAUUACUCACUCUAAUUUUGUUCUCAUUCCAAAAAUAUAUGAUAUUCAAUCUUUCUUAGAUUCGAGAUGAAUUAGCUUGAGGUAUUUUAUGAGUAAGAUUCUAUCCAUAAUUAUGCAUGACAAAUUGGAAAGCAUUCUUCCUAGAUUGAUCUCCCUAAUCAUUCAGGCUUUAUUAAAUGGAGAAGUAUCAUAGAGAAUGUUGUAUUAACACAGAAAUUGAUUGCAGAUAUUUGAAAAGAUGGAAAAACUUCUAAUGUAGUCAUGAAAUUAGAUAUGGCCAAAGCUUAUAAUAGAGUCUCUUAGUUCUUUCUAAUGAAAGUGAUGAGGAAGAUGGGGUUUGCUGACAAUGUUGUUGAUAUAAUUUGGAGAUUAAUUUCUAAUAAUUAGUACUACAUACUAUUGAAUGGUCAAUUAGUGUGUUUCUUUUAUUUAACUAUAGGGUGAAAAAAAGAGACCCUUUAUCUCCCACUUUGUUUAUUUUUUCAUCAGAAGUGAUGUCAAGGUUCUUUAAUCAUUUGUUUGAUGAUAUUUGGUUUACUGGUUAUGGAAUGCUUAAAUAGAGAUCCAAUUUGAAUCAUUAGUCUUAUGCAGAUGAUACAUUUACAUUCUCCACUCAUCAAUAUUCCUUGGAGAGUAUAAUGCAAGUGUUAAGAGAAUAUGAGACUAAAUCUGGCCAGAAGGUGAAUAUGAACAAAAGUUUCUUUUAUAUGCAUUAGAAAGCAUCAAUGGGUGAAGUUCAAAUAGUGGAACAGAUAUUGGUAUGAAAUAAGGCAGUUUUUCAAUUAAAUAUCUUGGUUGUCCUUUGACUCAUUCAAAGAGGAACAAAGAAUAUUUUGCAAAAUUAAUCAAAAUGGUUCAGAGCAAACUCCAAGCAUUGAAUAGAAUAUUAUUAUAUAGAGGGAAGGAGGUUCUAAUUAAAAGCAUUCUUCAAAGCAUACCUAUUUAUAUUCCUUUUUUCUCUAGGUCCUUCCAAAAGCUCAUCAAAUAUCUACAUAGGAUCUUUGCUAAAUUUUUUCGGAACAAUAAGGAAUCAGGAAGGGAAAAGCAUUGGGCCGCUUGGGAUAAUGUAUUUUACCCAAAAAUGAAGGGGGUUUGGAUUUUAGAUGUCUGAAAGAUAUCUCUUUGGAUUUAAAUGCUACACUAUGAUGGAGGUUUAGGAAUUAAAGAAAUCUGUGGGCAAACUUUUCAUGAAAUAAGUAUUGUAAAAAAUAAUUUCCUACCAUGGUGACCUUGAGAGGAGGAACACAAGUCUGGAAAUCCAUGUUGAAUGCUAGGGACAAGGUGGAAUAGUUUUUGUUGUGGGAACCUAAAAGUGUACAUCCGUAAUUUGUUUGAUAAUUAGACCAGUUCUGGUCCUCUAUUUAAACAACAAUCUAAUGUCUCUACAUAUUACCCUCUAAAAGACAAUGCAAUAUUUAUGAGGGAGGAUGGAUAUAAUUAUAAAGUUAUGGAGAAUGAGAUUUCGGAUAUCAUGGUGUAAUAGGUUGGGGACACUUAGGUUGUUUAUGCUAUAAUAAGGAGAUGGAUAAACUUUGGUGGACUAGAAAUAGCAAGGGUAUAUUUACUACUAAAAGUGCUUCGGAAUUAUUUAGGAACAAAGAAGAGGAGAAAGAAUAUUUGAAGUCCAUCUGGAUUAAAGAAGGCCUUUUAAAUAAUCCUUUAUGACUUGUAGUAUAUGGAACUCUUAUAUUCCAGUUGCAGUAGUCAUGCAUCAGUGGAAUUCUGAGAUUGAUGAAAGGUGUGGCUGUUGUACAGAACCACAAGUAGAAUCUAUUCAACAUCUAUUCCUCUAGGGAGAAGUAGCUGAAAUGGUAUGGAAUUUAUUCUGUAAUGCAGUUAGUAUUGUAGAGCAUAGACUAAAUUUGGUGUAGAGUGUCAAGCUAUGGAGGAAAGGGAAUGGCGAUCAUAAAUUUAUGACAGUGUUUUAUGUUGUUCUAUUGUUUAUGUUUUAGUUUCUAUGGAAAAGAAGGAAUACUAUAUUGCAUAAUGGUAGAUAUAAGGAUAGAAAUAUUACUUGGGACACUACUAAUUCUAUCAUUAGUUUAUCAAACUCAGAUUUCACAUGGAGUUGCAUGGAAAAAAUUGGGUUGAAAUUAUUUAUAUUUUGCAUAGUUAUGGAGAUUCAUACUUCUUAAAGUGAUUAAGUGAAAACCUUAAAAAACUGGCUGGUUUAAAGGCAACCUUGAUGGUUCCUCACAAGGAAAUCUAGGUCUAAUCUCCAUUGCUUUCUAUAUAGGAGAUAAUCUGGGAGAUCUAAUUGUUGCACAGGGGUGUAGAAUAAAGGAUAGAAAUAGUUUUAUGGCUGAGGCAUUAGCUAUACAAAAUUGUUUACAAUAUUGUUCUAUAAAUAAUCUAAGGCAGGUUAUUAUGGAAACAAAUUCUUGGAGCAUGUUCCAAAUACUGAAGGGUGAAUGGGAAGUCCCAUAGAGUGUGACAAUGGUGGUCAACUCCAUUUGAACUCUGAUGGAAUAUCUAAAAGUUAGAGUGAUAUAUUCCCUUAGGGAAGGUAACACUCUAGAUGAUUUUUUUUUGCUAAUCUAGUUUUUGUUUUUGUAGGUAAUUUUGAAUUCAAUAACAUUGCACAAUUUCUGAUUUAAGCAAGAACAAUAAUCCAAUUGGAAAAACUUGGAAUUCCUAAUAUUAGGAGGAUCAACAAGGCACAAGAAGAACAAACACCAAGUUGAUUCAAAAGGAAGAAAGGAUUUAAAUUUUCAUUUAAAAGGAUAGUCACAAGUAGAGAGAAGAAGUUAGAACAGUUACCUGUUGCUGGGAGUGAAUUCCACAAAACAUUCCACGUACGUCUAGUGAGAAUUUGGGAUGGUGAAGGCUAGAUAUUCAAAUAACAGUAGCAACAGAUCUACCAUGGACUUCGAUUUAGAAAUGAAUAGAUUAUCUAUAUGAAGAUGAGGAUUAAUAGUUUUAAAAAAUCCUUUAACUCAUUAAUUUAAUCAUUGUAGCUCAGGUGGUGGUAUCAGCUUCAAUUGAAGCAAAACCCAUCGAGCUACAUGAUUGAAGAACAUAAGAAAAAGGAUUGAGGUACUUAGAUGAGGCAAAUCAGUGAGGAUUUGAGCUAGAAACAACACAACAUCAUCGAUUUCAACAAGGGAUUUUCUUGGAUUUUAACAGCAGCGGAGGAUGAUGAAGAGUUGCUCUACUGUUGAUUUGAAAUGUGAUUAGGGUCUCUUGUUUCAUAAUUUGUUUAGCUUCUUUUGAUUUAGAUUGUCGGGUUGGGCCGGGACAAUUUUGGGCCUGAAUAUUGUGAAGAUUUGAUUUAUUUGGUUUUAAUAAAUAGGUUGAUGCCCGAAACUUUAAUUAAG